GUGCAGCCGGCACCUCCCGGCCAACCCCGCGGCUUGGAGAAGGGGCUUUGCACCCGCCGCCGCUGUUUGUCCUCGCGCGGCCCCCGUCCACUGCCCUGCGGUUGCUCUGCGGGCUGAAAAGUUUCUCCCGGUGCAGAAUUCCGGGCUCAGCGACAGCCUGCGCCGAGUGUGCGCACCUGUCGGAGACCCGCCAGUCCGCCGGCCGCGGCAGGGCCACUACUUCUCAGCACAUCCGGCCUUCUGGCUCAUCUCCUCCCUGCAUCUCACUACGCCCCUCCCCACUCCAGGCUCUCACGUGUGAAUAUGUGUCUAGUGCAUCCUUAACCUGAGGACUUCACCAGUUCGAAAUUACAGUUUUCACCAUCAACUACCUUAUCCUUUUUGGCCUGGUUUUCUUCCUCAAACAGUGGAAACAUUUUUAAAGUUGCUUUUGUUGCAGAGUUAAACAAAUGGCUGAUAGUGGCUUAGAUAAAAAAUCCACAAAAUGCCCCGACUGUUCAUCUGCUUCUCAGAAAGAUGUACUUUGUGUAUGUUCCAGCAAAACAAGGGUUCCUCCAGUUUU
rnacentral:lncRNA from 1 species